rnacentral:rRNA from 1 species
UACGUAGGGGGCGAGCGUUGUCCGGAUUCAUUGGGCGUAAAGCGCGCGUAGGCGGCCCCGCAAGUCGGCCGUGAAAUCUCCGGGCUCAACUCGGAGGGGUCGGGCGAGACUGCGAGGCUCGAGGUGGGCAGAGGGCAGUGGAAUUCCGGGUGUAGUGGUGGAAUGCGUAGAGAUCCGGAGGAACACCAGUGGCGAAGGCGGCUGCCUGGGCCUGGCCUGACGCUGAGGCGCGAAAGCGUGGGGAGCGAACAGG